rnacentral:rRNA from 2 species
GAAUACAAAUUCAAUGUACCCAUCCAUGACCCGGUCAUUCGGUGUUAUGUUAUGGUGUCAUGUUACUAACAAUAAACGACUCUCGGCAACGGAUAUCUCGGCUCUCGCAUCGAUGAAGAACGUAGCGAAAUGCGAUACUUGGUGUGAAUUGCAGAAUCCCGUGAACCAUCGAGUUUUUGAACGCAAGUUGCGCCCGAAGCCUUUGGCUAAGGGCACGUCUGCCUGGGCGUCACGCAUCGCGUCUCCCCCACACCAAUCACAUUGGUGGGGAAGGAUGAUGGCUUCCCGUGCCUCACCGGGUGCGGUUGGCUUAAACUUGGAGCCCACGGUAAAUAUUUGCCGCGGCGAUAGGUGGUGAACUUGGCUUAGGCCGUGUAAACAACCCGUUGCGGUGUGUUAGUGUGGGCUCGUUGGACCCAAUGUUUUGCAUUGUGCAAUUCAAACCUUUGCG